UACGGAGGGUGCAAGCGUUAUCCGGAUUCACUGGGGUUAAAGGGUGCGUAGGAGGGCAGGUAAGUCAGUGGUGAAAUCUUCGAGCUUAACUCGGAAACUGCCGUUGAUACUAUCUGUCUUGAAUACCGUGGAGAUGAGCGGAAUAUGUCAUGUAGCGGUGAAAUGCUUAGAUAUGACAUAGAACACCAAUUGCGAAGGCAGCUCGUUACACGAAUAUUGACUCUGAGGCACGAAAGCGUGGGGAUCAAACAGG
rnacentral:rRNA from 1 species